CAGCCGCCGCGGGAAAACGAAGGGGGCUAGCGUUGUUCGGAUUUACUGGGCGUAAAGGGCGCGUAGGCGGACUGAUAAGUCAGGGGUGAAAUCCCAAGGCUCAACCUUGGAACUGCCUUUGAUACUGUUUGUCUUGAGUUCGAGAGAGGUAAGUGGAACUGCGAGUGUAGAGGUGAAAUUCGUAGAUAUUCGCAAGAACACCAGUGGCGAAGGCGGCUUACUGGCUCGAAACUGACGCUGAGGCGCGAAAGCGUGGGGAGCAAACAGGAUUAGAGACCCGCGUAGUCCCUGUCUCUUAUAC
rnacentral:rRNA from 1 species